rnacentral:rRNA from 1 species
AGAAUCAACGCUGGCGGCGUGCCUAACACAUGCAAGUCGAACGAGAAAGGGGAGCAAUCCCUGAGUAAAGUGGCGCACGGGUGAGUAACACGUGACUAACCUACCCUGGAGUGGGGGAUAACUGAGGGAAACCUUAGCUAAUACCGCAUAACACCUACGGGUCAAAGGAGCAAUUCGCUUUGGGAGGGGGUCGCGGCCGAUUAGUUAGUUGGCGGGGUAAUGGCCCACCAAGACAGUGAUCGGUAUCCGGCCUGAGAGGGCGCACGGACACACUGGAACUGAAACACGGUCCAGACUCCUACGGGAGGCAGCAGUGGGGAAUUUUGCGCAAUGGGGGAAACCCUGACGCAGCAACGCCGCGUGGAGGAUGAAGCCCCUUGGGGCGUAAACUCCUUUCGAUCGGGAAGAUAAUGACGGUACCGAGAGAAGAAGCCCCGGCUAACUUCGCGCCAGCAGCCGC